AGUAUUUUUUCUGUGCUUCUGUGCGAAGCAUACAGAAAAAAAUUACUAAAAUACUGC
rnacentral:tRNA from 5 species